rnacentral:rRNA from 1 species
GGGAACUGCAUUUCGAACUGGCAAACUAGAGUGUGAUAGAGGGUGGUAGAAUUUCAGGUGUAGCGGUGAAAUGCGUAGAGAUCUGAAGGAAUACCGAUGGCGAAGGCAGCCACCUGGGUCAACACUGACGCUCAUGUACGAAAGCGUGGGGAGCAAACGGGAUUAGAUACCCCGGUAGUCCACGCCGUAAACGAUGUCUACUAGAAGCUCGGGUCCUCGGACUUGUUUUUCAAAGCUAACGCAUUAAGUAGACCGCCUGGGGAGUACGGCCGCAAGGUUAAAACUCAAAUGAAUUGACGGGGGCCCGCACAAGCGGUGGAGCAUGUGGUUUAAUUCGAUGCAACGCGAAGAACCUUACCUACACUUGACAUACAGAGAACUUAC